AUAACUGCGAUGAAGGAAAGAGUAAGUCUUCUGAAUAUGGCAAAGCGAGUCCGGAUAGUGAAAGCGGAUACAGAUAAGAUGACUGAAUUGCAUUCCUGAGCGGGACGGCCGAAAUGAGAGUAGGUCUCCGGGGCGGCGCCCCUUACAGCGCACGGAGUAUGAUAGUACUUCAUGAGGCCUUGCGGGAGACCGCAGGCAAAAUAGGGUGGAACCACGAAUCCUCGUCCCUUCG
rnacentral:ncRNA from 1 species